ACAAAAUACCAUCACUACAACCACAACCAUCACGAACCACAUGCACACCACUAUCACCACCACUACUAAUGAAAGCCUUAUCACCACCAUCACCACCACCACCACCACCACCACCAACACUAGCGGUAUUAGAUAUAAAUUUUCACGGAGUCGCCGCCGUGAGAUAUUUCCGCUACUUCAUAGAGGUCUUCAAUUUUCCCAAAGAUAAUUACACUCGAAAAUUACAAUGCCAUUACGUCUGCGAGCCCGUGGUGAGUGGCAGGACUCGUCUGGGGCCGGAUAUAAUUACCUUGCCUUCGUUCUGACGUCCAGUAAUAAGAACCAAAUAAAUCUUUCCAUUUCCGCCGGUAUACUUAGAGAGAGAGAGAGAGAGAGAGAGAGAGAGAGAGAGAGAGAGAGAGAGAGAGAGAGUAUACAUAAACACAUUAACUGAUGUGUAUGUAUACUGUAAAAAUCCAAGGCGUGUGUGUGUGUGUGUUACUCUGUGUGAGAUGAGCACGUGAGGUCGGGCAUGAGUGACGGAACAGAAGCCUGGAGCAAUUAGGUUCUGAGCGCGCUGUGUUGUGUUGUGUUGUCCUUUCGCGGCACGACGGAUGAGACGAUCUGUUGUUGUUCUGCCCCACCCUGCCUUACCCUGCCCUUCCCUGCCUUACCCUGCCCUUUCCUGUAGUACCCAACCAUACCCAUCUCCUUCCCCCUCACUGUCUCUCCCUCACACGUCAUCCCUUCCCCACCCCAUCCCUUCUUCCUUGGUAUGUUAUUCUCUACCUUCCAAAACCCAUAGCUCUCGUGCCUUUCUGCUCCCCCCUCCUGUGUCCCCAAGGCUACCGUCACAAUGGGUCCCGCCUCCUCCUGUGUCCCCAACAAGUGGCUAAGGACAUCAUUAGCUCUUAGGCCGUGAAAGGAAAACCAUAAACAAAAUUUGAGGAAAUUAUUGAAGGCAUGAAAGUGUGUUAAACGGAUUUGGGAGGAUUAGCUACCAUAGAAGAGGAGAAAGAGGAGGAGGAGGAGGAGGAGGAGGAAGACCUUGGAGAAGGAAAGGAUACCCACGGGUGUGCCUGGCGUCCGUCAUCUCUCGCCUGACUUCCUCUCUUCCUCGUGUGUUUAUUUUUCCUAAUCCUUCGUCGUCAUAAGGUCGUUGGCGUGUUGGAUUCCGCUGACUUCUCUUUAUUCCUUUCUUUGCUUCGGGUGGGCAGGCGGGAAUACACACACACACACACACACACACACACACACACACACACACACACACACACGAAGGAAUAUAUAACAAUGCAAGUACAUUUUUCCUUCUUUUUGCUCAUAAAAAUGCAGCAUCUUAUAAUAACUUAAGUGUAUUAGGUUACUAAAUAUGCGAGCUCACUACAAAAAGAGAAAGUAUAUAAAAAAGUUUUGACUUUUUGUAAGCUGGUAAUAGAGAGCGAGAGAGAGAGAGAGAGAGAGAGAGAGAGAGAGAGAGAGAGAGAGAGAGAGAGAGAGAGAGAACGAGAGAGAACCCUGUUGCUAAGUCUGAGUGGUGAUGCAUAUCAUAAAGGUCAUCAAAAUAAUGUUCUCACUGUACAUAACACGUGUUGCACAGAGUUAUGUGUAUGACUUAGUAAGCUCAAGUCAUCUCCAAGCAAAGGGUAUAUUCUUGACGUAUAUUAUAUUGCAUUAGUUAUCCCCGGUUUUUUCUUUCUCUUUUUCCUAACGAGCGUCUGUGAGAGGUUCAUGUGGCUGUGGAAUGUUCCCUCAAGACUCAAGAGGCUCCAGUCGGCUUCGUCCUCACCCAGCUGAUGUGGCGUUUUUUAUUUACACUCCACACACGCCUCAGCGCAUCUCAGCCUCAGCGGGGCGGACACAGCGACUCGAGAGACAACCAGCACAGGCGAGGCCCGGGCUUCACCUUAGCUGUUCACUCCACGAGUAAAAAGAAUAAGAAAAAAGAGAGAAAACAAGGGUCUCGCAAGAAAUAAGAAUUCUCGUGGACUCCCUUAUUUCGUGGCGGCCUGCGGGUAACCCUUUCCUAGCCACCACUGUUGCCACGUUUGCUUCCAGAGUCUAGACACACCUGUGCAUUUACUCCGCGAGUCGCAAGCACCGGCCACAUUCUGGGGACUGCGCAGGAGCCUCGCUUUAUCUAUGUAACGGCGAGGGAAAGUGUGCAUUUUGUUGAUUCAUUUAAGUGGUGGUGGUGGCGGCGAGGGCCCGAGGGAGUCGUCUACCUCGGCAACAGGGUGGUAGUGUGUGGUGUGUGGUGUGUGGUGUGUGGCAGCGCUGGUGGUGUACCCCGGACUCUCCGUCUCUCGGCGGGGGUAGGCUGUCUUGCCAGGCUGGCCGCGUCCUGCUACGAGGCAACAAAGCCCUUAGGAGGAAAUUUUGGCGAGUGCUGCCGUGUGUGAAGGAGGGGGAAGAGGAGAGGGAGGAGAAGGAUAAGGUGGAGGCAAAAAGAGGAGACAAGAGGCCAACCCUCCGGCUCUCGACCGAUGCCGCCCAGAAAUAGAUAAAUCCUUGGCUUAUUAGGCGCUGCGAGUUUCUAUAAUGGCAGGAUCAAAAGUGUAAAAAUGAAAGGGUUGUGUCGCGUGAAAAAUACGGUAAUUUCAAGUGGCUCAGAGGCUCCUGCUGAGACGCAGUUAAUCAGUAGACGGAUAAUUAUGAGAAGCGAGCGAGGCAUUAUGGUGGAGGUGGUGGCGGUGGUGGUGGCGGCGCCGUGUGUUCGUACCUACCUGGCCGCCGCCGCGGCCGCCGGUAUCGGCGCCUCCACCGCCCUGUCCCCACCCUCUAUUUGACCACAAGCCUUAUUACAAGGAACGAGGCCAAAAUUAUAAUUUCUCUUCCUUGUACCCUCCCCCCACGGCGCCCUCUGUAUGGGUCCAUUGUGCUGCCUCCCACCCUGCUUCCCCCUCACCUGCCUUCACCUUGCCUCAUCUUCUCACCUGUUGGACCGACGUCGCGCAGGUAGGAAUGCAGUUUUUACCUCAUUUUUUUUCCCUCGUACACCCUUUCACCUUGACGCACCUGUGGCUGGCGCGAGGCCGCGGGGACCCGGUGGCUGUGUAGAGUCCAGAAUCCAGAGUCCAGAGCCCCACAGACCGGUAGGAUGGAAGGAGGAACGCGAGAUAACAAUCCUAUACCAACGUGAACCUCGAAGCCUCCGUGUCUGUUAUCGCGGAAGGGGUAAAAACGCAGCUCCUUAAGGCGUUUUUCUGGCCGAUAAGCGUCACGACCCGGCUUCUUCCUCUCUUGUCCCGCCAUUCCUGGGCGUCCCACCGCCGCUGGGACGUGUGUGAGGCGAGGGGUGACGUGUGCUACUUGACAGAGAGGAAAGGGGAGGGACGUGGCCACAAGACAGAGGAAUAGGGGCCUGUCCAUACCUGUCAAUUAGGCAUUCAGAUAUAUUCAGGCUCUCUGGUGUGGUCAAGAGAGAGAGAGAGAGAGAGAGAGAGAGAGAGAGAGAGAGAGAGAGAGAGAGAGAGAGAGAGAGAGAGAGAGAGACGAAAGGUUUUAAAAUAUUUGUUGACAUUUAGCGUUGUGAGAUCUCAGUGAGGAAGAUGGGGAAAGAAAGAAAACGCAGAGGAAGACUGAUAAACUGACGGGCAUAGACAGACAGGAGGACAAAGAUAAACAUAAUGGAGGAGGAGGAAGAGGAGGAGGAGGAGGAGGAGAAGGAAGAGGAGGAGACCAGAAAGACAGACAGAAACACAAAGAAACAGGCAGAUGGACACGUAUACACAAGAGAGAGAGAAAAAAAUGUCAAAAGUAAUGAAGAAAAAAGAAAACAUAAUACAGGGAAGAAAAAAAUACUUAACGAUAUGUCUGAAAAAAAUAGUCAGACGAAAGAUAAAGACAUGGAAGAAAGGAAAAAGAUAAAAA